UUUGGGGGCAUUUUGUGGGGUUUAAGCCAUAUGUUGAAGAGGCCCGGGCUCUAGAAGCAGAGGGGAGAAAGCGUGGCCGCUUUGGCUGGGACUCCGUGCCCUCCCUCUUCCCUGCCCCAAACCUGUGGGUAGUUACCCGCUCUUCCCAGGAGUGAACUAGUGUCUCAGUAGUCCCAACCAGCAUCAGGAGGAGCACGUGGGUUGCUGUGUUUGGGGUCGGACAUGGUUAAACACUAGAAAUUUCAUACGGACCAACUGCUUGCUCACUUCCGACAGAGGAAAACAAAAGGUGACUGUGCGCAUUCGAAGAAAGAGACGGCGAAGAGGCCGGGCCCGGCUGUCCAUGCGACUGUCUGUACGGCCGGCCAGGAGGCGAGUCCGGUAGCUGCUGAGGACAGCGGACUUCUGGGGAGAGGGGACAUUUGCAGAAGCCCGUCAUGCAGCCACACCCCCAGUGAGGCAGGAGCGGCUCAGGACAGUUGGGCCAGACCCUGUUGUCAGGGCUGGUCACAGCAGCAACCAAAGACCCUGCCCUCAGGGAGCUCCUUCCCUGUGGGGACAGGUCCCCAGCAUCCUGCUCUGGAAGGGAGAGCCUGUGUUUGCACGCAGUUAGAAGAAAACCACCUGCACCAAUUAGCAGAGUUGACGUCCUCCCUGGAAGUGCAGCAAGUGACAGAUGUCGAGGGGACCCAGGUGUCAGGUAGUGAGCAGCCUGUGGGGCUCUCGGAGGAGCCGGGCCCAGAGCUUGCAUAGGUGCCGCUCCAGAGUGCAUGGGACCCGGCCUCAGAGGUGCAGACAGAGGUGGCGGCCAGCGUCCUGGGUUUGGAAGCUGAGCACAGGGUUAAACUCUCACUUCUUGACACAGAGCUCAAGGAAGAAGUUGCCCAUCUACAGACAGAAAGUAGGAAUUUACACGGGAGGUUGCGGCGUGAAAUCUGCCUCAGAGGGAACUUGAGGGAAGUAAGUUGUGACCCCUCCCAGCAGGACAGCGCUGAGCUGCUUAGGCUCCGUGUGGAUGCGGCUUGUACCAGCCAUGGUUGGACAAGUCCACCGAGACCUGGCUGCCCAUCCCCUGCUGGCCCGUUGGGGUGUUGGCUUAUCACCUUCCUCAGACUCAGGACUGGACUCCACCCAAGCCAGGGCCUGAGUUUUGGUCUGGUUGCUCCUUCCACCUGCUGCCAGGGGUAAGGGACUGGCCUUGUGCCCUCCAGGGCUCCAGGAAGAGAGGCCACCUGCAGGGGUCCUGCUGACUAUGGGUCGUGCAGCCCAGUGGGUGCUGCGGUUGAGCGGCAAGGCCUCCAUGUGCCGACAGGGACUCCGUGAUGUGCUCUUUGCUCCGUCACCGGCGGUCCUGCCACUCCCAGCAUGGGGUGUGCAGCACUGUUCAGGGAAUAGAGUUGGCAGGCCUGGAACUCAGCUCUCGGACAUCCCCAGGAAGCUCUUCUUGGAUUUUCAUUCUCCAUCCAGUUUCCUUGGAAGCUGUUUCCUGCAAGCGGGGCCGAUCCUGUCUGUACAGCCAGCACCGGGUCACAGGUAAUGCAGACAGCUGAUUCUGUGGAAACCAAGACAUCACGCCCCAAGGUUCUGAGGAGGAGCUGGUGCAAGCUGCUACUUACAGGUCUGUGCUCGUGAACACCACCGCCUCCCCCAUGAUUUCCCCUUUCAAAGCCCUAACUGCUUGUGCCUCAGGAGGACAGUGACUCUAAGGCUUGAGCCUGCCCCCUCCCUCAUUUGCUGGCAAAGUAAUAAACAUUCCUUUCCUUUCCUGAAAA